rnacentral:rRNA from 1 species
UACGAAGGGGGCGAGCGUUGUUCGGAAUUACUGGGCGUAAAGGGCUCGUAGGCGGCCAACUAAGUCAUACGUGAAAUCCCUCAGCUUAACUGGGGAACUGCGUGUGAUACUGGAUGGCUUGGAUUUGGGAGAGGGAUGCGGAAUUCCAGGUGUAGCGGUGAAAUGCGUAGAUAUCUGGAGGAACACCGGUGGCGAAGGCGGCAUCCUGGACCAAUAUUGACGCUGAGGAGCGAAAGCCAGGGGAGCAAACGGG